CUCACUAACUUAUUAUUUCUUUAAACAAAGCAUGCCGUUUCAUUGGGCAUUCAAGGAGUAGAUGGGACCACUUGGCUGGGCCUGGUUUAACCAAUCGAUUAAAGCUACAGUAUUAAAUCUGUUUUAUAAUCGCCAAACGCAAUAAACAUUGUAAAUGAAUCUGCACAGUGAAGCAUUUGCGCCAUCUGCAGGUCACCAAGUGGCACUACACAUUAUACUGCAGUGUGCGGUCGCAAUGAGACACAUUUUCGAAGUCCCCUUGCUACUAUAGCUACAACUACAACUACGAAAAUCCACAAUAAAAUUACAACAGUGUAUUUUAAAAAUGAUUUUAUUUUUUAAUAGUGGCAUACUGGAAAUAGUGUUGAAAAGGGAACAAACUCUGCCACAUGUGAAUAGCUAAUGACCAGUCAAAGCUGUGUUAUAUUGUCUAAAGAAAAAAAAAAAAGUCUUCCGGUGUGCCAUAAUAAAUCGUCUAUUAGUACAAAAAUACAUUUCAGGACACACAAUAUAGCAUUCAGUAUCACAAAUAAAUGCGUGAGACAUUUCGAGCACACCGUUUAGAAGAAACAGGUUUUGAGAAUAGUUUACAUCAAGCACUUUCCUUUGUAAAUAAAGAAUAAAAAGAUGGUUAUCAUUAAAAACGCUUAUAUUUUAGUGUGUAUCUGUAGAAAAGAUGAUAUUAUUACUAAGUACACGUUCCGAGGCUCAAGGGAAGAUCCAGAAUACAAAGACAACCGUUUUCAUUUCAUUCAUCCUCUUUUAUAAACGUUUCCCCCCUUAAGUUUUAUGCAAAAUAAAGACAUACAAAAAAAUAAUUUACAAACCAAUAAUGAAGGCAAUAUGCUUGCUUUAUGUACAGCCAAACAAUCUCCUUCCAUCUUUUUUAUUUGUGUUUCUCUUCAAAGGUCAUGUGCAUAGCAGAUAAAAAGAGAAAACCUGUUCUUAGCCUUUACGCUGUUCUUGUGUGCAACACCUAGGUUUAUUUGUACAGCGGGUUGACAAAAAUGGCAGAAAAACAACUUUAGUUUCUUCAUAAUUGAAACCAAAAAGGUUUUUGCUAUUGAAAAAAGUGUCAUUUCAGAUAAGGCAUCACUGCUUUAAAUGGAGUGAGAGAGAGAGAGCGAGAGAGAGAGAGAGAGAGAGAGAGGGAGUGAGGAAGAAUCUGGGACAGAAAGAGGGGAAAAGAGAGAGCAGCGGUCUUCACACCUGAGUCAAAGCACGUGCAUAGAUCUCGACACAGAAGGAAUGUUCCAGUGCUCAAGUUCAUAGGUCUGUGAGGAGGCUAAUGGUGUCUACAAAGGAGCUAUUUAAAAAAAGGUGAGCCUUAGGUUGACACGUCCUUGGCUAGAAAACGUCAUACUGUAUUAUUCUUAAGACGCCGAGAUUCUCUCCGACACUUUCCUUGCGCUCGUGACUAGCACUGAUCCUGCACCUUGACGUGAUAAAAGUCAGGAAAUGUGUCAGAUGUACACAUCAGCUGCUCGACCGAAAAGCCUAGAACUGGAAUUCGAUAUUCUAGAAAAGUUGCACUAUACAUUAGAAUCAUAACAUUAUAGUGUGCAUACUAUAUGAAGUGAAAAUACAUUUGCAGAUUAAUAUAGUCUAUACGUUACAAGGCCUAGACUGAAUGGAAGAACCUAAUAAAUCCUUUAAAAAAUAGACGACAACAACUUAAUGUGUCGCAAAAUAAUACAGUUGGCUUAUAGAGUGAGUAUUAGUUGGUCAGUGGCACAGAGCAUGCAGUCCAUCAAUGGUUAAUGUCUGUUUUUGUUAUCGUCGAAAGCCUUUAAAAGCACUUAAAAAAA